rnacentral:sRNA from 1 species
GCUGGGUGCAGUGGUGCACACCUGUAAUCCCAGUGGCUUGGGAGGCUGAGGCAGGAGGAUGGCAAAUUCAAAGCCAGCUUCAGCAAUGUCGAGGUGCUAAGCAACUCAGUGAGACCCUGUCUCUA